rnacentral:tRNA from 1 species
AGGUAUUUAGUCUAAUAAAGACACUUGAUUUCGGCUCAAAUACUUAUGGUUAAAGUCCAUAACUACCUU